UUAGAACUAUUUGUACUUUGCCUAUGGUGAAUACAACCCAAAAUAAUCUUGAACCAAACUCUUAGAUUCCUUGUUAAGUCCUUAGCACUAGGACCUUUUUCAUCAGCAAAGUUGGUUUCUUCCUUGAAGAUAAUAGGAGAGAUGACAACUUCUCUCUUAGCGAUGAUCUUAGCACUGUGAAUCCUUUUCCCUUUACCAUCAUGAGCAAUGAUAUCAGCUAUGGAUUUCUCAUUAAUGACAAUUUC
rnacentral:lncRNA from 1 species